rnacentral:rRNA from 1 species
UACGGAGGAUGCGAGCGUUAUCCGGAUUUAUUGGGUUUAAAGGGUGCGUAGGCGGAGUGCCAAGUCAGCGGUAAAAAUUCGGGGCUCAACCCCGUCGUGCCGUUGAAACUGGCGCCCUUGAGUGGGCGAGAAGUAUGCGGAAUGCGUGGUGUAGCGGUGAAAUGCAUAGAUAUCACGCAGAACCCCGAUUGCGAAGGCAGCAUACCGGCGCCCGACUGACGCUGAAGCACGAAAGCGUGGGGAGCGAACAGG